rnacentral:rRNA from 1 species
CCUACGGGAGGCAGCAGUGAGGAAUAUUGGUCAAUGGGCGCGAGCCUGAACCAGCCAAGUCGCGUGAGGGAUGACUGCCCUAUGGGUUGUAAACUUCUUUUAUCAAGGAACAAAACAAGGCACGCGUGCCUUUUCGUGAGUACUUUAUGAAAAAGCAUCGGCUAACUCCGUGCCAGCAGCCGCGGUAAUACGGAGGAUGCGAGCGUUAUCCGGAUUUAUUGGGUUUAAAGGGGGCGAAGAGGGUAGAUAAAGUCAGUGGUAAAAUUGUGGGGCUAAACCUCUUAUUGCCGUUGAUACUGGUAUUCUUGAUUACGUGUGAAGUAUGCGGAAUGCGUGGUGUAGCGGUGAAAUGCUUAGAUAUCACGAAGAACUCCGAUUGCGAAGGCAGCUUACUA